UUUUAGACAUGCUUUGCAUGGCAGGCUCCCCGCACGUACGUGCGGCCAACUGUCAUGGGGCUGUCUGUUCACUGUCCCUUUGAUUAGUACUUUUGCUCGUUAGGGUCUCGCUGUGGGUUUGGCUGUGUGGAUCUACCCUUGUUGGGUAGCACGAUUGUCCCGUUGUUGCCUGUUCAGCCUGCUAUGUGGAUGCUAUGCAUCGACAAGCGGCCGAUGUGUCAUCAAAUUCCAUGUGUCUCAAAGCGCUUGUGCUUUGGAAGUGCAUUUGGAUAUUUGUUGUGUCCCAUGGAUAUUGUGCCUGUUGGGAGGUCUAUCGGCUUCAUGCUUGUAGACCGAUGAGGUCGCCUUUGCACGGAUCAUUGCUGCGGAUGAAACUUCUCAGACAUGCUGUCGGUUAGGCGC
rnacentral:misc_RNA from 1 species